CCUACGGGAGGCUGCAGUGGGGAAUUUUCCGCAAUGGGCGAAAGCCUGACGGAGCAACGCCGCGUGAGGGAGGAAGGCCUUUGGGUUGUAAACCUCUUUUGAUGGGGAAGAAGUUUGACGGUACCCAUCGAAUAAGCAUCGGCUAACUCCGUGCCAGCAGCCGCGGUAAUACGGAGGAUGCAAGCGUUAUCCGGAAUUAUUGGGCGUAAAGCGUCCGCAGGUGGUAUUUCAAGUCUGCUGUCAAAGCAUGGAGCUUAACUCCAUAAAGGCGGUGG
rnacentral:rRNA from 1 species